GGGGGUGUGAGGGUUCCGGUGAAUUCCCCGGUCUUCAAAAUCGGCGGCGGGGGCGUGGCUUCCGCGAUGGGUUCGACUCCCAUACACUCCCG
rnacentral:tRNA from 2 species